rnacentral:tRNA from 1 species
UGGGAGAGCGCUACAAUCGCACUGUAGAGGUCAGGGGUUCGAAUCCCCUCGCCUCCA